rnacentral:rRNA from 1 species
CACUUUCAGUAGGGAGGAAGGUAGUGUAGUUAACACCUGCAUUAUUUGACGUUACCUACAGAAGAAGCACCGGCUAACUCCGUGCCAGCAGCCGCGGUAAUACGGAGGGUGCGAGCGUUAAUCGGAAUUACUGGGCGUAAAGCGCAUGCAGGUGGUUUGUUAAGUCAGAUGUGAAAGCCCCGGGGCUCAACCUCGGAAUUGCAUUUGAAACUGGCAGACUAGAGUACUGUAGAGGGGGUAGAAUUUCAGGUAGUAGCGGUGAAAUGCGUAGAGAUCUGAAGGAAUACCGGUGGCGAAGGCGGCCCCCCUGGACAGAUACUGACACUCAGAUGCGAAAGCGUGGGGAGCAAACAGGAUUAGAUACCCCUGGUAG